AUUGAACGCUAGCGGGAUGCUUUACACAUGCAAGUCGAACGGAGUGGCGGACGGGUGAGUAAUAUAUCGGAACGUGCCCAGUAGCGGGGGAUAACUACUCGCAAGAGUGGCUAAUACCGCAUACUAUUUGAGCGGCCGAUUUCGGAUUAGCUAGUUGGUGGGGUAACGGUUCACCAAGGCGACGAACCGUAGCUGGUUUGAGAGGGCGACCAGCCACACUGGGACUGAGACACGGCCCAGACUCCUACGGGAGGCAGCAGUGGGGAAUUUUGGACAAUGGGGGAAACCCUGAUCCAGCCAUCCCGCGUGUAUGAAGAAGGCCUUCGGGUUGUAAAGUACUUUUAGCGGGGAAGCGUUAUCUGCAGAAUAAGCACCGGCUAACUACGUGCCAGCAGCCGCGGUAAUUC
rnacentral:rRNA from 1 species